rnacentral:lncRNA from 1 species
AAAUUAAUGGAAAAGAGUAAUUUGCAUGAGGAAACCAAACCAAGAGGUGUGCCUUGAUGGGUACAACAUACUCCAUCUUCUCUAAACAUCUUAUUGAUGGAAACAACAUCCACAAAUUCCUUGAAGAAACAAACAAUAUAAAUAGACAAGGCAUUAAUAUGGUUAGUAGUCAAACACAAAUCAUCAUCAUAGUAAAGAGAUUACAUUGGUUGUCUAGCAACUAAAGUUCUCUUUGCUUAUUUUUUUUCAAGAACAUGGAUGUCUCAUAUCCCUUAUGUCGCACGACUAUUGUUUUAUUUAGAAUUGUUGUGGAAUAAACUAGUGUUUUGUAUUCAG